UACGGAGGGUGCGAGCGUUGUCCGGAAUCACUGGGCGUAAAGGGCGCGUAGGCGGCCUGAUAAGUAGGGGGUGAAAUCCUGCGGCUUAACCGCAGGGCUGCCUUCUAAACUGUCAGGCUUGAGCACAGUAGAGGCAGGUGGAAUUCCCGGUGUAGCGGUGGAAUGCGUAGAGAUCGGGAGGAACACCAGAGGCGAAAGCGGCAUCCUGGGCCGGGCCUGACGCUGAGGCGUGAAAGCGUGGGGAGCGAACAGG
rnacentral:rRNA from 1 species